rnacentral:rRNA from 1 species
UACGAAGGGGGCUAGCGUUGCUCGGAAUCACUGGGCGUAAAGGGUGCGUAGGCGGGUCUUUAAGUCAGGGGUGAAAUCCUGGAGCUCAACUCCAGAACUGCCUUUGAUACUGAAGAUCUUGAGUUCGGGAGAGGUGAGUGGAACUGCGAGUGUAGAGGUGAAAUUCGUAGAUAUUCGCAAGAACACCAGUGGCGAAGGCGGCUCACUGGCCCGGAACUGACGCUGAGGUGCGAAAGCGUGGG